rnacentral:lncRNA from 1 species
CGGGAUUCCAGGAUCAACACAGCAGGGCCUCUCGGGACCUCACGUGGUCUUCUCGUGGGUUCUCGCGAGAUGUGGACCCUAUAAAGAAACUAUACACAGCGGAGACUCUGCUGUCAAGGCUCCUCACGGUCGCUCCUACCGUGUCUCCCGGGUCAGGCUGCACUUUUGUUUUUCUCUUUUCUGCUCUUGUUCGGCCCACGUUCGCUGUGCAGGGCCAGUUUCUCCCUCAUCCCCGCUUCCAGUUAAACUUUGGCCCAUUUUUGGCUUGUCUCGCUCAGUUCUCGGCUGCGUCUCAGGUCAGGGAGCGACCGUAGCGCCAGGAGCCCGGAGCCCGGAGCGAGCCCUCCGCUGGCUGACUCGCCUGUCCCAGCGCAGCACCGCCGCGUCCGCCCUCCGCAGUUGUUAAGGAGCAAGUGCCUCUCACGAGCAGCCUUGAAGUAACAUCUUUGGGAAACGCUAAGGUUCGUGUUGCGCUCCCCGGCCUCUCGUCUGCGGGCGAAUCCCCCGAAAAUCUGGCUGGUGAGAGUCACAAAGGACUCCUCGUCCCCAAGGCGCAUUUUUCAGGAAGAUCGUGACACAGACAAGAAAGUGAGUUAAACGGAAAUGAACAAAACUUUGGAAACCUCCGUGACGUCCCUCUCUGCUUCCGUUGCUUUGGUCUGCGCGCUAGCUCCCGGCCCUGCUAACCAAGCCCUAGGAUAACAGACUUAUGCAGAGGAGAGGCGCUCGGCCCACCUGUCUGGAAGGAAGUCUCGGUCCAUGACAGGUUGAGGCUGUUGCUGUUAGGCUUCGUCAAGGCGCACAUUAUGGCAGCAGCACAGCCAGAAAGGGAGAAAGAGCUGAUCCUGCAGUCCCCCAGCGGCCUAGACCUGAUGGUUCCACCCCUUGAGGUCUCCACCGCCUCUCAGUGGUGCUCAACUGGUACUACGAUUCCAAAAAUAGAGAAAAAUAAGCACGAUUGUCAGAAUCUGAGUCCAGGGUGAGAGGCACAAGGUCUUCCCUGAGUCAGACACUUAGGGCCAGUGGGACCCAAACUGGUGAUCCUCCUGCCUCAGCCUCCCAGAGUGCUGUGGUUACAGGCAUGCACCACCAUGCUUGACCCACUCAUGUCUUUCUUAAAUCUUUCCUUAUUCUUCUGGUUUCAUGGGAGGCUUGAAAUAUGACAACUGUCGUCAAAGGUCAUUUGGAUUUGAGUCAAGAGACGAACAGAAAAAAAGAUAGUUGGAUCCAUCCACGAUUCCAGCCUGGGUGGGGAUGAAUGGGGACUUUACUCACUUUAUGAACAACCUGCAUCACAGGGAUGUGCAGUGAGAAGUGGGGACAGAGCUGAGUGGGCUCUGGGGGAAUAAACUAAAACCUGGGGCCAGGAAACCAUGUGCAUCCUGUUAUCAAUGAAAAAACACCACUCGAGGACUUCAUCUAGGUGGCUGUCCCCGGCCUCCUGAGGGGUUCAGGACGUAGUACCCAGAAUGCAGCGCUGUGGCAUUUGAGAAGACGACUGAGGCAGGAGGUCUCCCUGACCUUGCCUUCUGUGGCUUCCCUGAACCAGGACGAGCAAGAAUUCUCCGACCUCCUCUGUGGUAGUUCCUGAGACCCUCACCCCAGAAGUCCCUCCACUGGCCCCAAAGACAAGCCAAGUCCUUAUCCUCCUCGAGAUGAGACCACACGCACCAGGCGUGGUAGGGCACGCCUAUAAUCCCAGCACUCAGAAAGCUGAGGCAGGAGGGUCACUGUGAGUGCAAAGCCAGCCUGGGCUACACAAUGAGUUCAUACUGAACUACACAGCGAGACCCUGUCUCUAAAAAGAGCACACAUUUAACUAUUUCUUUGGGUCUUCAUUUACAAAGGCUGUGUUUUUCUCUUGUUAAUCUGUCUUUUACUAGAGGCGCCUCAGCCAUUAGCCUGUCAGUAGGUGACAGGGGAGAAAUCUCAAAAAGGGCACAAUAAUAAGCUUUGAAACCAGAGCACAUCUCUACGAAUAUUUUCUCUCUCGCUCGCUGAUGUUCCUAGCUGUCUUCCACUGUGUGCCUAACCUUUCCACAUCAUGUGUCAGUCCUUAUGGAUCAAGUAAAAUUUUCAAAUCUACAGGUCACUUCCACUAAGAUGCAUAUUAUGGAAAUGUCUGCAUUUUUACAUUUGUAUGAAUAAUUAAAUAGCAUCUCUAGAAACAUAUUCAAAUAAUAUGCUUGUUUUGAAGUAUUAACAGGAAAUAGUUAUAUAUGGAUGCAAUGUUUUUAUUUAUAUGUGACUCUGAGACAAGGUUUUUACAGAAAAGACUGGUUUUAUUGAAAUAACAUUUGUAAAAUUACAGACAAUCUAAUUGCGUGAAAGCUCCCAUUUCCCACCUUUUUAUACAUAGUUUCCAUUUGGUUAUAUUUAAUGUGUACUUUGAUGGGAAACAAGAUUCCAAAAUCCUCCAUAUAGUACAACUAAUAAAUUUGAAUGUUACUUUUUUAAAUGUUAAGAAGAAAAAUAUAAUUGUCUAAG